UUAGUUUUAUCUAAUUAUUGAGUCAAUUUUUAAAUAUUUUUUAUUUUAUUUUUAUAUAUAUUUUUUCACAAUUUGGAAAAAACAUCUAAAUAAAAUUUGGUACCACUAAAUGAUAUUACUUUUUUAAUUAAUGUGAUCUUUUCUAUAGUGGGCAUACAUAUAUAAAAAAAAAAAAUAAGUAAUUAAUUUUCUCAACAUGAUCCUUAAAACUUCAGAAUGAAAGGUGACAUCCCAGAAACAUACAAGUUAGUAGUAUAUACUAUAAAAAAAUGUUACAAAUUUGGAAACUUCUAUCCUACCAAAAAGAAAUCACUAGGUACAAAUUUACAUGAAAAAGAAACCUUGCAUUAGUGAUACCAUCGAUUAUCAACAACCAUUGCCUCCAUUGUAGGGUCACUUUGAGAAUUCUACUGUACUAACAGUACAUAUUAAAACACCAUAAAACAUUCAAUAAUUGAUCUCCACUUGUAGGUUAGGGUGUCAUUAGACUAUCAUUAGUGUUACCAAACAUUCAUUAUUUGUAGCAUGCAGUAAUUGUUUAUUAGUAAAAACAAGGAACAUUAGUGGUUUAUGUCAGGUGUGGAGGAAGCGUGCUAGAUUAAGGGAUGCAUGUUAUGAACAAAAAAAGAAAUCAAAGAAUCAAAUAUCUGCAUCAAAAGCAUCAUAAUCAAUCAGUAAGCUUUGUUUGGUAUCUUUAGUCUUAAAACCUACUUCACUACUCACAAGUGCCCUUAAGAAUACCCUAAUAUCCAAAAACAAUUAUAACAUAUGGUCAGUAGGUACUUUUAGAAGAAAAAUAAUAUCAUUUUCUAUAAAUUAAUUUAUCUAUUAACUUAUUUUAUUUUAUGAUUUUUUAUUUUUUUAUUUUAAAAAAAAGGGCUUAUGAAAAAAAAUUCAAAGUCAUAUUUUGAUUAAUAUUGAAAUUCAUUUUGUCCUUACUUGGAAGGUCCCCGCAGGGCAAAACAAAGUGGUAACUAUUUACCAACAUUUGUCAAUAUGUAUUCAUAUGUAAUGAUUUUAUUUGGCUCGUAUUAAAAAUUGUUAAUAACACAUUCUUUAGGAGUUAAGCACAAUUUUAAACACUCUACUGAUAAUUAAAAUUAUAUAAACUUCACUCUUACAUGAGGUUCGUGUUACUUUUAAUAUAUGGAUAUUAGAUAAGAUGAAAACAUGUAUUAAAUUGUAUUUCGUUAAUAAUCUUUUAAUAAAAAACAACAUAUAAAAACAUGUAAGAAGGUUUACAAUAACUCACUCACACGCCCACCCUGUUCAAUGAAUUGAGGAAUCAAAUUAUGAUUGCAAUUGAAAUUUGGAGUUUAUCACAUGAACUAAUUGCUCAAAACAUUCUAUGAAAAUAUCACUUCUGAAUCAUAUAUUAUUAAUUAAGGCUGCAGACUAAUACAAACCAUCACCAGCAUCUUCAAAAAGCUGUCUGCAAAGAAGAUGCAAAUAUACUAUAAAGUUUGCAUACCAGCAGGCAUGAUAAUCAAGAAUGAACACUAAGAUCAUUAUCAAAACAAGUAAAACACUGUUUAAUAGCAUGUAGAGAAAAAAAACAUCACAGACACAUUCAAGAAGAAAAAAACUCCUUAAAAGACCAAACUACAGUUUGGAAAGUUAUUCUUUAUCAAAAUAAAUAAAAAGUGUCUUGCAUAAACCAAACAUAUUAUAUACCUAGGUGAAAAUUAUGUAUAUGCUUCCAAAUAAAAUAAUAUAUAAUUCAAGAAAAUUGAUAUGUGAUAUCAUACAUAAAAACUGCUAAUUGUGCAUUCACUGGAACAAAAAACCCGUAAUGAAAGGUGAAGACGAAUCUCGUUUCCAAUACUCAAUUUUUUUGAUUGUGUAUUCAUUUGUAUAUGUUGAAGUUCUUAUCUGGACUGUUUCUAUUAUGACAUGAGCCUAAGAUCAUCAUAAAACUUUUUUUUUUUUUACAAGCAAAAUACAUAUAUUAAAUACCAUUCUGCAAAAGAAGUGCAGUUGAAUCGCAUUCACACGACAACAAAAGCAAAUAUCUCCAAAACAUUUGUGAAGCAAAAUACAAGCAUGUGACAAAAUAGUAAGAACCCUGCAUAAUUUUCUCUACCAACCUACCCUUUAACAUUCUUUUCAUUGAAAUGGCCUCCUAACAUUCAUUUGGGUCAGUUUUUGCCUCAUCUUGUCAAAGAAAAACUGCUCUUGAAGUUGCCUCAACCAAGCUUUUACCUAAUGACAGCAAUGCCAAGGUUAUAAAUUAUGCAACUUUACUCAAUAUGCAGUCACCACCUCAGUAACAAUUGGAGAAAAUUAUUCAGCUUCAUUUAAACAUGUACAAAAGAAUCAACAGUGAUUAGAAUAGAUUAUGUGGAUAAGACUUUUGUUGUUGCUAUUGUUUGGAUAUAGUAUAAAAGCAUUUUAUACAUGUUUUGGUAAAUAUAAUAACUGUUUCAGUAUUCAAAAGUCAUAGAUAGUUCUUAAGAUAGUUAAAGAUUUGAAACAUUGAAUAUAACAAACCUCUCCUACUUCAACAAUUUUUCUUCUAAGUUAUGGUUGUGACUAAUCCAUAACAACAAAUUAUCACAAGAGUCGAUCAUAACCUUAAAUUUCAAAAUCAUGUUAUUGGACCAAAGAUCCAUAGAGCUCUCAACAACACUGCACCUGUAUAAAUAAUAUAACUGUCGAAAUCAUAAAUGAAAUAAUUAUCCAUCACUUCCAACAAAGUGAACUUUUCCAUUAUAUACACCAUUUAUAUUGCCAUUUUAUUUUGGGUUGUCGUUGUGCUAACUGUGUAUGUUCAUAUUGUCUCUAUCAGUCCAACUACAAACUGAUAUAUUACAGAAAGAAAUGCAAAAAAAAUAGCUACAAAAUAUAGAAAUUUAUACUAACGACUACAAAUUUAUUUAUAAUCACAAAAGUACAUAAAUCAAAUAGAAAUUAGACCAUCAAUAAAAUCACAAUAAUAUAAAAAGUUGCACAAAUUAGCCAGUUACCUUAACAGAAUCAGGAGAUUGCGUGUCAUUCAUUCGACAGCAUCUUAAAAUUCUCUCAAGCCUAUUAGUAUCAACAAAAGAUCAAUUUCCAACUUAAAAUCAUAAGAUAAUUGGAUGCACUGCUCAAAACUGCAUUAGAUCAUGCCACAAAUCAUCGAAUAUGACUCUUGAAGAAAUGUUAACAAAUAGAGCAUUCAGUUAUAAGAAAGGAGGUAGGUAUGCUAGUUUCCUUAACAUGUCUUAAGGCUAUUAGUUCUGAAAAGUUGUUUUAGCUAUACUUUUAUUUAUUUAUGUAGAUGUAGGACCAUGCAAGGUGAAUUUGUCUAACCACUACACGUACAACUGGAAUAAAGAGUUUGAUUGCUAAACCUUUUCAGUAACAAAUUGAUAUGUGUUUCUUGUCCGACACAGCCACGAUAUAAAAAUAUCAGCACUCUUUCAAUGUGAUGAAUAAAGAGCAAUUAUAACAAGUACAUAUUUUACUGUUAUAAGGAAGGUAAUACAACAGUUACAACUAAGAAAGAUUCAGUUUAUGCUUUGUAUCAGCUCAGCAUCAAACUCAACAAGAAAAGUUGCAAACUGUUCACAUAAAAUGCAUAUUUAUCAGGUUAUUGAGAUCCAACCAGAACCUUAAAGCAGUAUUAGAAAACAUAGGAAAAAGAAAAAAACAAAAAAUAACAAAGUAAAAUCAUUUGACCACUGCUCACCAAACUCCUGUUUCAAAAUGGGGUAUUAUUCUGACAAGUUUUGGUGGGUAAUGAUAAACCCUAUAUUCAUCACCCUAAGAAUAGGGUUGUUUGCUAAGAAUGAGAGCAGCACAAAAUAGUAGCGUUUGGAGAUUGUAACUAAUUGAGCCAAAUACUGCUUCAGGUGAGAACAUUACAGCAAUGAACAACUUGAUGGCCCGCAUACUCUAUAUACUUAAAAUAUGAAAGGCUAUGAAAUCAGAAAAACGAUAUAAUAGCUAGCUAGAUGCUAGAAAGUGAACAACAACAAGUGUGGACCAUACUAUAUAACGUGUAUGGUCCCUCCCACUCGCUACCAUACAAAUACACAUAAAAAAGCUAAAAAAACGGUGCCCCUCAAGGUCUGCACAAUAACCAGGGUACCUUGUGCAAGGUAAUGCUAUCAAAAGUCACACUUAUCCAUUUUGUAAGGACUAGUAUACUAUAAACCAUAAUAAAGCCAAUCAAACAACACGUAUGCUCCAGUUUGAACUAUAAUUAUAGUAACAGUUAAAAUAAAACAAAAUAACAAGAUACAUAUUAGCAAAACACCAAAGACAUAUAUAACUUUACUCACUGUUAAUGUUAAUGAAAUAUAUAACCACAGUAAGAGACAUUUUUUCAUGAGCUGCAUCAGAGAGAGAGACAGAGAAGAUGAUGUGGUUUGUUUAUGGAGCAACUUAGUAGACUGGAGAAUUUUCUGGCACUGAAAACCGACAGAAAGAGUAGUGAGCACACAAAAGCAGUGAUAUAGAGUUAUAUCAUAUGCCUCUUUGUGCUCACUCUCUUCUGUCAAUUUCUGUCCAAAUAGAAGGAAUUAAAGAAACUAAGUACACAUACAAUAGCAUCCCAAAUAUGGAAAGUUCACAACAAAAGGUUUGGAAAAACCUGAAGGGAAAAAUAAAAGCCACACAACUGAGUCAGAUCUGGGGAGGAAAAAUGUGAUAUCCAUUAAAGGAAAACUUCACGAACCUGGUGUGCUAAAAAGGUGGAAAAUCUAGGAUCUGACAUGCAUGUUCUCAGAGGAACACAAUUCUGAGAAUUUAGGGUUUGUCACCAACAACCUCAGUCCCACAAAUAAGGACACAAACCAGAAAAACAAACCCCAGAAGAUGAAUCAAGAGACGAGGAAGAGGAUGAAAUGAUUUUGAGACGAUAAAAAAGAACAAAAAAAAAAGGGUAUUAACACCAUAAAACAAACUCCAAUCAAAACCAUGUUGGAACACACAAAACUCCUUCUCUCUCUCUCUUCAUGUCUGACUUUCUGUACAUUGAGUCAGAAAGAGUCAUGCAAAACGUAGAGCUGACAAGUAGCAAGGUUACCAGAUCGGUGUGACAGAUCUAUGUGCAUGAUGGGGUGUGAGAAACUGAGAGGGUUGCAAUAAAUAGAUGAGAAAGUGGUGAGUUGAAAUGAAAUAAAAAGAGCAAAAAGAGAAUGCAAUUUGUUAUGUGUGUAGGAGUAGGAAAAGGGCAAAGAUCUUAUCCUAACAAUGGAAAUGGAAAUGGAAAUGGAGCAGCCUUUUGGUUUUGGUGUGUGGAGUGUGUGAAGUGUGUGGAAGAGAGUGGUAGAUAUAUAGUAGUUUAAUGGUACACUCAGAGAAAAUGGGGUUUGGGUUUCCCACUUACGCUAGCAAAAUUAUCAUUAUUAUCAUCACCCAUUCUCUCUCACUCUUCUCUUUUUGGGAACACAAA
rnacentral:lncRNA from 1 species